AUAAAAUCUAAUGCCCUUUGUGUCAACCAGGGUAGGUAAAUGGUCUUCUGCAAAGUUAAGAUGUUCAUACAACUUCUGUUUGUCACAUUCUGAUGCAUGUUGAGGAAUUUUCUUCUGCCUUCCUUGUAAGAAUCACUACUCUAUUUUUCCCAAUUCUGCUUUCUCAAAUAUAUAGCCCAUUUAUAAUUUGCUGUCUAACUUACGGCAUGCAUUCAGAUAUUUUCCUGGCCAUUCACUAGAGCAACUGGCAGACAGUCCACAUCCUAAGGGAGCUUAGAGGCAAUCAAGGCAGAAAGACUAAGGAAUCAGAACUUCUGGAGAAGAAAGGAAAAUCUGAGUUCAAAUUCAGGUCUGUUCACACUUCCUCCACUGAGGCCAAAGCAGCAUAUCAAAGCCAGGUGAAACUUCUGAAAUUAAAGUAAAUAAAAAUUGUUCUACAAUCAACCAUGAAGGAAGAAAGGUUGACAAAUCUGGCUAUCCUGUCUAUUGACCAAUAAUCUGUGCAGAAGAUGAGUUUUGACAAAACCAUUCACAAAUUUGCAAAUGUUAAGACUCAAAAACUGAAACCACAAUGUUAUUAUUCAUCACUGUGGCUGAACAAUAGGAAUCCAAGAAGCCAAGAGACUGUGUCCACUUGCAACCCAUACUCUUCCAGACCAUGCUUGGAUAACCCUGCACAAAUAACCCCAGGUUCAUUUCCAGGACCCAUGCAGUCCUCUUCUCCAGGUCUAUCUUCCCAAGAAUGGAAAGAGCCCUCAGUGUGUGCCCCCCAGACCCAAGAAAAAGCAUUGUGUGGGCAGCAACAUGUUUAUGAAAACAAAACAGCUUUGUGCCAGAUACUCCAGAGUCCCAUUGUCAAGUAAGGGUCCGUAGACCUCCAAGG